CCGGCUGCUGUGUUGAGAGUAGGCUGUGGACGUCAGGAGAGGCAGUAGGAAACCAGUUAAAGGCCAGCGUAACAAUCCAGUCUGCAGGCAGCCUCAGCUGUGGACACCGUGGGACACUUUCUCUGGAGCUCCAGAAACCAGGACUUGAAGCUAAUAACAGGCUAAAGAGCGUUGUGAUUAUGGUCACCUAAUAGGAACCUUUGACAACUCCAGAGAGUGUGCUCUGCACCACAUUUCAGGAAAUGCAGCGCGGGGGUGGAUGCACGGAAAAUCUGAGGCUGCCCUGCUUCCCCAUCAGGGCCUUCUGCUUCCCUGUGACAACCAGAACUCUGAUUAGUCUCCGGGAGACGAGCGUUCCUGUUCCUGGAAAUACUCCUACCACCCGCUGGGCAAACUUCCCCAUUGACAUGAUGGGAAGAUGCAGGACCAGAGGGCCUACUGCGAUGUGAAUCUGUUCCAUGGCACCCAGCACUAGAUACAGAAAGGGGAAGAAAAACAAGUUUUUAUGUGCAAAGCCAGAAGCUAAUCUGUGGAAACUUCUUCCAGUCAAAACAUAUAAAAUUAUACUUGGAGGAUUUGGUUCUCAUCAAUUCUUAGAAAAAAGAAAUUCUGUUAGGAACAUACUCUGUAUGCAGUAUAUACAAUUACAAACACUCCAAGCAUUUUCUUCUUUUUCAAAGAGAUUAUGCAAAAUCAAAUUGAUCAAAAUUCUUCUAUUUAUAGAGCACAAGUCCUGUGGAAGAACUACAGGGAACAUGUUCAUUGAAGUUGCAUAUUUUAUGAAUUUUAAAAAUUAAUAACGCAAAAAUUUUUUGAUCAACCAAGUUAGAAGAAGGACUGAAUUAUUUUAUUCUCUCUACAGAAAAUGUUACAAAAUAGAGAGUAUGAGGGCAAAGAAUGUAGGAAUAUAUCUUAUCGAGUUAUAUCAGCCACUAACUAACAAAAAUAUUGCAUUAUUUUCUGAAUUUUUGUGGCAUUUAUUAAUUUUUUAAAAUUUGAAAUGUUAUAUGUUCUUUCUUCACUCUGUAUAAACAUUCACUUUUGUACCUAAUUUUGUAUUUGUAAUUUUAAAUAUUUUUUCUCCAAGAAGGCCCUCGAAACGCAAGUCUCAAUCUCACAAAAGUUGGCUCCAACCUAAGAUAGGGGAAGCUAUUGGUUCUUCUUCUUUAUGACCUUGCCACUAGAUUACAGCAAGGGUGAGUGUCACGUAAGUCCUGCUUCGUAUAACAAACAUGUAUCAUCCAGCAGGCAGAGGAAACCAUCACAAAACCUCUUCUGUAAUCUCAACGAAGAUCCGGUUCUGUGUCCUUUUAGGAGCUACCACAGAACAUUUCACAGAAAACUUCUAGGAAGCAAAGAAUAAUAUUCUAAAGGCCAAAUUCUGCUGACCAUCUGGUUGGAGUCAGGCAAACAAGAAUCCUGUCACCCAGGAUUGUUUAGGAAUUGAGUCCAGGUAAAAGGUAAGCACUGGCUGGAUUCUUAUAUCCUGUUCCUACAAGGCAGGGAGCAUCUCUAUAACAUUUUAUCUGAUCCUCACCUCUUGACCUUUACUCAUGUCACCAACAAAAAAGCAUUUCUAAACAUUCAUUAUACUCAUUAGGAGGCCUCUGAUGAUUACUGGAGGUGACGAUAGCUGAAGAACUCAGAGUUCCUGCCUCUGGAGCAUGGCUUUUGUGUCACCUUCUCAUUGAGUCCUGAGGAGCCAAGUUUCCCGUGGAGGGUGACACAAGGAAAGCUUCAACUACAGCAGCUCUGCUCUUCUCUGUUCUGCAUAUUGGGGUUCUGUGUACUGUUUCCUUUGUGAUAAAUAAAGAGGGUUCGGCUGCAUUUGAAACUUUGAAAACCACAGCUCUAGCACUAAACACCUCUCUCGGUGUAAAAACUAUAAUGUCAUCUAGUCUUCUUCUCCCCUCUCUAUUCCCACCACCGUUGUUUCCAAUACAUGCUCCCACCACAUUUUACCUACAAAAAGCUUUUUGUGCUGGGGUCAAACUUUCCAUAACCAAGUUGCCAAGUGUGAUGGUUAAUUUUAUGCGUCAACUUGACCAGGCCACAGGGUGCCCAGCUAUUUAGCUAAACAUUGCUUCUGAGUGUGUCUAUGAGGGCAUUUCUGGAAGAGAUUAGCGUCUGCAUCAGUGGACUCGGUAUAGCAGGGUGCCCUCCCCGCUGCAGGUGGGCAUCAUCUAAUCCACUGAGGGCCCGAAGAGAACAAAAGGUCAAGGAAGCAGGAAUUCUUUCUCUCCGUCUCUGCUUGGACUUGGUUAUUAGCCUUCUCCUGCCCUUGGACUCAGCUCUCCUCUUUCUCAGACCUUCAGACUUGGACUGAGACUCCUCCACCAGCUCCCUGGUCUCCAGCUUACAGACGUCAUGGGACUUCUCAGCCUCCAUGAUUGUGGGAGCCAGUUCCUUGCAGUACAUCUCUCUGUAUAUACAUCCCUUAUUGGUUCUGUUUCUCCGGAGAACUCUCAACAAUACACCAACGUAGGAGGAUUGCUGGACUGGAAGCCUUGUCCCAGCUUUGGAGAGGGGGCUUAUGGAGGAACAGAUGAGGGAUGGUCAGAGCCAGGAUAUUUAACCUUGGUCCCUAGUGAACAUUUAUUCUUUGUCUGCGAAUAACUCUUCUUUUUCUGGGGCCAGUCAUCCUUUUAUUUAAGACUGUGCCCCAACGAUGAGGUUCUGUAAGGGCUUUUCUAAUUUGCCCUUGUUCUCACAGAUGACCCAAUCACCCAAGACCCCAACCUGGUGCUUCCAAGGGCUUUUGAACUGAGAAGCAAGCCCUGCCCUGUCCAAUGGCAAAGCUGGGAACCUGUGAGCCUGGAGCUGCUGGUGUCCACGCUUCCGUCCUUGAGAGGAGAACCACCUGAAGAGCAUAAAGCCACUCUGCAAGCAGGAAGGAGGCAUGAGGAGUGUCACAAGAGUGUCCAGGCCAGGUCUAGUCAUCGCUGGUGCCAACCUUAUUCCUGCCCCUCUUCAUUGGGCUACAUGAGUCCACAAAUUCUCUCUCUCAAGCUUCUUGGAGUUCACUUUCUGUCAUUUUUUCAAAACCAAAAAAUAUCCUAAACAAAGCACCAGCUAAGGCAGCAAAAUUACAGAGCUUGAUAAAAUAAAAGAAAUGGAAUCAACAAGAAGAAAGGUGGAAAAGUCUGGUAAUUCUCAGGAACAAAAUAACCAGGGAGAAUAAAAUUUGCA